rnacentral:rRNA from 1 species
UACGUAGGGUGCAAGCGUUGUCCGGAAUUAUUGGGCGUAAAGAGCUCGUAGGCGGUCUGUCGCGUCUGCUGUGAAAACCUAGGGCUUAACUCUGGGCGUGCAGUGGGUACGGGCAGGCUAGAGUGCGGUAGGGGGAGACUGGAAUUCCUGGUGUAGCGGUGAAAUGCGCAGAUAUCAGGAGGAACACCGGUGGCGAAGGCGGGUCUCUGGGCCGAUACUGACGCUGAGGAGCGAAAGCGUGGGGAGCGAACAGGA